GACGAACGCUGGCGGCGUGCUUAACACAUGCAAGUCGAACGGUGAAGCGCCUUCCUUUUUGGUGGGUGUGGAUGAGUGGCGAACGGGUGAGUAACACGUGAGUAACCUGCCCCCUUCUUCUGGAUAACCGCAUGAAAGUGUGGCUAAUACGGGAUAUUCUGGGUCUGUCGCAUGAUGGGUCUGGGAAAGAUAUUGUUUCGGUGGGGGAUGGGCUCGCGGCCUAUCAGCUUGUUGGGGAGGUGAUGGCCUACCAAGGCGGUGACGGCUGCCCGGCCUGAGAGGGUGGACGGACACACUGGGACGGAGGAACGACCCAGACUCAUACGGGAGGCAGCAGUAGGGAGUAUUGCACAAUGAGGGCAAGCCUGAUGCAGCGCCGCCGCGUGAGGGAUAAAGGCCUUCGGGUUGUGGACCUCUUUCGCGAGUGAAGCAGGCCUGCCACGUUUGUGAGUGGGUUGACGGUAGCUGGAUAGAAAGCGCCGGCUAACUACGUG
rnacentral:rRNA from 1 species